CAAGACAACUUUGCACAGUUGACGAUUGACGGAGCGGAGCGACGUCAAAGCGUUUUACAACGUUGAGUUGGCUUAGGGAUACGUUCGUUGGGUAGGGGAGCGUUCUGUAAGCCUGCGAAGGUGUGCUGUGAGGCAUGCUGGAGGUAUCAGAAGUGCGAAUGCUGACAUAAGUAACGAUAAAGCGGGUGAAAAGCCCGCUCGCCGGAAGACCAAGGGUUCCUGUCCAACGUUAAUCGGGGCAGGGUGAGUCGACCCCUAAGGCGAGGCCGAAAGGCGUAGUCGAUGGGAAACGGGUUAAUAUUCCCGUACUUGGUGUUACUGCGAAGGGGGGACGGAGAAGGCUAUGUUGGCCGGGCGACGGUUGUCCCGGUUUAAGCGUGUAGGUGUGUGUUCCAGGUAAAUCCGGUUCACUUUAACACUGAGGCGUGAUGACGAGGCACUACGGUGCUGAAGCAACAAAUGCCCUGCUUCCAGGAAAAGCCUCUAAGCAUCAGGUAACACGAAAUCGUACCCCAAACCGACACAGGUGGUCAGGUAGAGAAUACCAAGGCGCUUGAGAGAACCCGGGUGAAGGAACUAGGCAAAAUGGUGCCGUAACUUCGGGAGAAGGCACGCUGACACGUAGGUGAAGUGAUUUACUC
rnacentral:rRNA from 1 species